UUCUUUUCCUAAGACAGCAGGUGCAUAACGCAUAAAGGAUUAUCCUGCCUGCCGAGGUUCGGAGCAUAAUUUUAUUUCUUUAUAAAAUUAUUCUGCCCCUCUGCACGUCAGGGGGGCUUGUUUUAUG
rnacentral:sRNA from 1 species